rnacentral:rRNA from 1 species
GAACCGCAUGGUUCUUGGCUGAAAGAUGGCGUAAGCUAUCGCUUUUGGAUGGACCCGCGGCGUAUUAGCUAGUUGGUGAGGUAAUGGCUCACCAAGGCGAUGAUACGUAGCCGAACUGAGAGGUUGAUCGGCCACAUUGGGACUGAGACACGGCCCAAACUCCUACGGGAGGCAGCAGUAGGGAAUCUUCCACAAUGGACGCAAGUCUGAUGGAGCAACGCCGCGUGAGUGAAGAAGGCUUUCGGGUCGUAAAACUCUGUUGUUGGAGAAGAAUGGUCGGCAGAGUAACUGUUGUCGGCGUGACGGUAUCCAACCAGAAAGCCACGGCUAACUACGUGCCAGCAGCCGCGGUAAUACGUAGGUGGCAAGCGUUAUCCGGAUUUAUUGGGCGUAAAGCGAGCGCAGGCGGUUUUUUAAGUCUGAUGUGAAAGCCCUCGGCUUAACCGAGGAAGCGCAUCGGAAACUGGGAAACUUGAGUGCAGAAGAGGACAGUGGAACUCCAUGUGUAGCGGUGAAAUGCGUAGAUAUAUGGAAGAACACCAGUGGCGAAGGCGGCUGUCUGGUCUGUAACUGACGCUGAGGCUCGAAAGCAUGGGUAGCGAACAGGAUUAGAUACCCUGGUAGUCCAUGCCGUAAACGAUGAAUGCUAGGUGUUGGAGGGUUUCCGCCCUUCAGUGCCGCAGCUAACGCAUUAAGCAUUCCGCCUGGGGAGUACGACCGCAAGGUUGAAACUCAAAGGAAUUGACGGGGGCC